GGGUCACUCAGGGUCUCUCAGGGGUCACUCAGAGGUCACUCAGGGUCACUCAGGUGUCACUCAGGGGUCACUCAGGGUCACUCGGGGUCACUCAGGGGUCACUCAGGGUCACUCAGGGGUCACUCCGGGGUCAGUCAGGUGUCACUCAGGGGUCACUCAGGGGUCACUCAGGGGUCACUCAGGGGUCACUCAGUGUCACUCAGGGUCACUCGGGGGUCACUCAGGGGUCACUCAGGGGUCACUCAGGGUCACUCUGGGGUCACUCUGGGUCACUCAGGGGUCACUCAGGGUCACUCAGGGGUCACUCAGGGGUCACUCAGGGUCACUCAGGGUCACUCAGGGGUCACUCAGGGGUCACUCAGGGGUCACUCAGGGGUCACUCGGCCACCUGCACGCCCCCGCAGUUCUCUUUGCUCUCCGAGGUGAUCGCCAGGUACUCCGAGCUGG